UACGGAGGGUGCGAGCGUUGUCCGGAAUCACUGGGCGUAAAGGGCGCGUAGGCGGCCUGCUAAGUAGGGGGUGAAAUCCUGCGGCUUAACCGCAGGGCUGCCUUCUAAACUGUCAGGCUGGAGCACAGUAGAGGCAGGUGGAAAUCCCGGUGUAGCGGUGGAAUGCGUAGAGAUCGGGAAGAACAUCAGUGGCGAAGGCGGCCUGCUGGGCUGUUGCUGACGCUGAGGCGCGACAGCGUGGGGAGCAAACAGG
rnacentral:rRNA from 1 species